AACCCGCCACCCGGCCCGAGGGUCUCAGCAGCCAACGACAGAGUCCCCUUGGUGAAAGCAACAUCUCCGGCAGGACCGGCUGCUGCCCCCACCACGCCAGCAGCAGCACCCACCACGCCAGCAGCAGCACCGCCGGGCAGCGCGGCGCCCCCCAGGACACCCGCCACUGGCCCCGUCCCAAGGAACCCGGACCCCAACGCGGCUCCACCGCCCAGGGCCGCAGCCAGGAAUUUGUCCUUCAGGAUUCAUGGACUGUACUACCUUUUCGAGAAUGCCAGGUUGAAUGCCGCUGAAUACUGAUCAUAUUUUCUCUGGAAAGUUUGACCAAAGCAACCUGUUGAAGAUGGCAAGAGGUUGAGGUACCAGAGAAAAGGGGGUGAGGGUACCAUUAAAGGAAAUGACAAUGUACGUGCAGGACACCCCCACCAUCAGGCUGCGUAUUCCGGUAUAUGCUGUCUUUAGCAACAAUCCAACACAAACAGUGGUGUGUGCCACUUCUGCAGUGUGUCAGCUGAGGAGGUGAAGAUUUUUUUUCAUGAUCAGAAACUUUUCAUCUUCAUUAUUUCUAAGUUGUUUCUUUUUUGCCAGUUAUUUCCCUCUGACCAAGAAGUACACAGUUUCUUUUCUGUGUCUUGGAUUCUUGUCAAGGUAUUAAGGUAGAAGCAAAAGUAAAAGGGAGUGAAUGGCUUCAGCAAAGAGCAGAGAGUGUCAGGGUAGGUGGGAUUCCAGUUCCCAACCACUAGCUCUGCUCCUGCCACAGGCGUUCUUUGUGUACGUGAGCAAUGGCUUACACAGGGCCUGAAGCACCUUCAAAAACCCACCUCUGCUUUAACAUUCAUGGAUGUCAUUCAGCUCCUUAUCUAAUUCAGGUGAUUAUGUUUGUUCUACCCGAGCA